rnacentral:rRNA from 1 species
UACGUAGGUGGCAAGCGUUGUCCGGAUUUACUGGGCGUAAAGAGCGCGCAGGCGGUCGUUCAAGUCGCGUGUGAAAGCCCCCGGCUCAACUGGGGAGGGUCACGCGAUACUGAUCGACUCGAAGGCAGGAGAGGGUAGUGGAAUUCCCGGUGUAGUGGUGAAAUGCGUAGAGAUCCGGAGGAACACCAGAGGCGAAAGCGGCGCACUGGACCACAACUGACGCUGAGGCGCGAAAGCUAGGGGAGCAAACAGG